GACGAACGCUGGCGGCGUGCCUAAUACAUGCAAGUAGAACGCAGUUGCGAACGGGUGAGUAACGCGUAGGUAACUGCCUCAUAGCGGGGGUUAACUAUUGGAAACGAUAGCUAAUACCGCAUACUGUGAGAUGGACCUGCGUGGUAUUAGCUAGUUGGUGAGGUAAAGGCUCACCAAGGCGGCGAUACAUAGCCGACCUGAGAGGAUGAGCAGCCACACUGGAACUGAGCCACGGGCCAGACGCCUACGGGAGGCAGCAGUGGGGAAGAUUGGACAAUGGGCGCAAGCCUGAUGCAGCCAUGCCGCGUGUAUGAAUAAGGCCUUCGGGUUGUAAAGUACUUUCAGCGAGGAGGCGUUACUCGCAGAAGAAGCACCGGCUAACUCCGUGCCAGCAGCCGCGGUAAUUC
rnacentral:rRNA from 1 species